AGAAGGUACGCUCUUGAUGGUGAAGUCCCUUGCGGAUGGAGCUGACGAGAGUCGCAGAUACCAGGUGGCUGCAACUGUUUAUUAAAAACACAGCACUGUGCAAAAUCGUAAGAUGACGUAUACGGUGUGACGCCUGCCCGGUGCCGGAAGGUUAAUUGAUGGGGUUAGACUUCGGUCGAAGCUCUUGAUCGAAGCCCCGGUAAACGGCGGCCGUAACUAUAACGGUCCUAAGGUAGCGAAAUUCCUUGUCGGGUAAGUUCCGACCUGCACGAAUGGCGUAAUGAUGGCCACGCUGUCUCCACCCGAGACUCAGUGAAAUUGAAAUCGCUGUGAAGAUGCAGUGUACCCGCGGCUAGACGGAAAGACCCCGUGAACCUUUACUACAGCUUGGCACUGAACAUUGACCCUACAUGUGUAGGAUAGGUGGGAGGCUUUGAAGCACGUACGCCAGUAUGUGUGGAGCCGUCCUUGAAAUACCACCCUUGUAGUGUUGAUGUUCUAACGUCGACCCCUAAUCGGGGUUGCGGACAGUGCCUGGUGGGUAGUUUGACUGGGGCGGUCUCCUCCCAAAGAGUAACGGAGGAGCACGAAGGUGGGCUAAUCACGGUUGGACAUCGUGAGGUUAGUGCAAUGGCAUAAGCCCGCUUGACUGCGAGAAUGACAAUUCGAGCAGGUGCGAAAGCAGGUCAUAGUGAUCCGGUGGUUCUGAAUGGAAGGGCCAUCGCUCAACGGAUAAAAGGUACUCCGGGGAUAACAGGCUGAUACCGCCCAAGAGUUCAUAUCGACGGCGGUGUUUGGCACCUCGAUGUCGGCUCAUCACAUCCUGGGGCUGAAGUCGGUCCCAAGGGUAUGGCUGUUCGCCAUUUAAAGUGGUACGCGAGCUGGGUUUAGAACGUCGUGAGACAGUUCGGUCCCUAUCUGCCGUGGGCGUUGGAAGAUUGAAGGGGGCUGCUCCUAGUACGAGAGGACCGGAGUGGACGAACCUCUGGUGUUCGGGUUGUGUCGCCAGACGCAUUGCCCGGUAGCUAAGUUCGGAAUCGAUAACCGCUGAAAGCAUCUAAGCGGGAAGCGAGCCCUGAGAUGAGUCUUCCCUGAUACUUUAAGUAUCCUAAAGGGUUGUCGGAGACUACGACGUUGAUAGGUCAGGUGUGUAAGUGCUGUGAGGCAUUGAGCUAACUGAUACUAAUUGCCCGUGAGGCUUAACCAUACAACACCCAAGGGGUUU
rnacentral:rRNA from 1 species